rnacentral:rRNA from 1 species
GACGUAGGGCGCGAGCGUUGUCCGGAUUUAUUGGGCGUAAAGGGCGCGUAGGCGGCCCGCUAAGUCGAACGUGAAAUCCCCGAGCUCAACUCGGGAACUGCGUCCGAUACUGGCGGGCUUGAAUCCGGGAGAGGGAUGCGGAAUUCCAGGUGUAGCGGUGAAAUGCGUAGAUAUCUGGAGGAACACCGGUGGCGAAGGCGGCAUCCUGGACCGGCAUUGACGCUGAGGCGCGAAAGCUAGGGGAGCAAACGGG